GACGAACGCUGGCGGCGUGCUUAACACAUGCCAGUCGAACGGAAAGGCCCUGCUUUUGUGGGGUGCUCGAGUGGCGAACGGGUGAGUAACACGUGAGUAACCUGCCCUUGACUUUGGGAUAACUUCAGGAAACUGGGGCUAAUACCGGAUAGGAGCUCCUGCUGCAUGGUGGGGGUUGGAAAGUUUCGGCGGUUGGGGAUGGACUCGCGGCUUAUCAGCUUGUUGGUGGGGUAGUGGCUUACCAAGGCUUUGACGGGUAGCCGGCCUGAGAGGGUGACCGGCGACAUUGGGACUGAGAUACGGCCCAGACUCCUACGGGAGGCAGCAGUGGGGAAUAUUGCACAAUGGGCGGAAGCCUGAUGCAGCAACGCCGCGUGCGGGAUGACGGCCUUCGGGUUGUAAACCGCUUUCGCAUGUGACGAAGCGUGAGUGACGGUAAUGGGUAAAGAAGCACCGGCUAACUACGUG
rnacentral:rRNA from 1 species